rnacentral:rRNA from 1 species
GGAGCGGGAGCCCGGAGAUGGGCACUGAGACAAGGGCCCAGGCCCUACGGGGCGCAGCAGUCGCGAAAACUUUGCAAUACACGAAAGUGUGACAGGGCUAUCCCGAGUGCCAUCCGCUGAGGAAGGCUUUUACCCAGUGUAGAUAGCUGGGAGAAUAAGGAGAGGGCA